GCAGCUCUCCAUCGGAGGCAUCAUCCUCCUGCGGGAUCUGAGCGAGGACGCCGAGGAACUGGUGGACACGGUGGCGGCGCACGGCCCCAAGCUGGAGGAGGAGGAGAAGGAGCCGGACGCUCCCGAGCCCUUCGAAUACGUGGACGAGUAGACGUCCGAUGACCGUGGAAGCUGGGAGGUCGCACCUCACCACCACGAGGGUGCGGUGUGCGAUCGAUUCGAAGAAUAAUCUGCAAAAGUUGUUUUUUUCUUCUGUUAAAGUUUUCUUUCUCAGUGUUCGUUCAUUUUUACAACUUUAAACCCCAGUGUAAAAGAUUGGUUUUUUUUCUGGUUCAGUUUUGUGUAACUUCGGAAAUGACUCAAAUAAAAGACGUAACUUCA